rnacentral:rRNA from 1 species
AACGAACGUUGGCGGCGUGGAUGAGGCAUGCAAGUCGAACGCGAAAGCCGCAAGGCGAGUAAAGUGGCGGACGGGCGAGUAACACGUAGGUAAUCAACCCUCUGGUUGGGGAUAACACUUCGAAAGGAGUGCUAAUACCCGGUAUGGCGCAGCGGUCUUCGGAUCGCGGCGAGAAAGACCCGCAAGGGUUGCCAGAGGACGAGCCUGCGGCCCAUCAGCUAGUUGGCGAGGUAACGGCUCACCAAGGCGAAGACGGGUAGCUGGUCUGAGAGGAUGAUCAGCCACACUGGAACUGAGACACGGUCCAGACUCCUACGGGAGGCAGCAGUGGGGAAUAUUGCGCAAUGGGCGAAAGCCUGACGCAGCCACGCCGCGUGAGCGAUGAAGGCCUUCGGGUCGUAAAGCUCUGUGGGGAGAGAAGAAUAAAGCCUGUGAAGAGCAGGCCUUGACGGUAUCUCCUUAGCAAGCACCGGCUAACUCCGUG